rnacentral:rRNA from 1 species
UACAGAGGGGGCAAGCGUUAUUCGGAAUUAUUGGGCGUAAAGGGCGCGUAGGCGGCCUGGCAAGUGGAAGGUGAAAUCCCUCGGCUUAACCGAGGAACUGCCCUCCAAACUGCUUGGCUUGAGUCCGGGAGAGGUGAGUGGAAUUCCCAGUGUAGCGGUGAAAUGCGUAGAUAUUGGGAGGAACACCAGUGGCGAAGGCGACUUCCUGGCCUGUUCUUGACGCUGAGGCGCGAAAGCUGGGGGAGCAAACGGG